GCUACCAUAGCUCAGUUGGUAGAGCAACUGAUUCGUAAUCAGUAGGUCGUGGGUUCAAAUCCCAUUGGUAGCU
rnacentral:tRNA from 1 species